GACGAACGCUGGCGGCGUGCUUAACACAUGCAAGUCGAACGGAAAGGCCCUGCUUUUGUUGGGUGCUCGAGUGGCGAACGGGUGAGUAACACGUGAGUAUCCUGCCCUUGACUUUGGGAUAACUUCAGGAAACUCGGGCUAUUACCGGAUAGGAGCUCCUGCUGCAUGGUGUGGGUUGGAAAGUUUCGGCGGUUGGGGAUGGACUCGCGGCUUAUCAGCUUGUUGGUGGGGUAGUGGCUUACCAAGGCUUCGACGGGUAGCCGGCCUGAGAGGGUGACCGGCCACAUGGGGACUGAGAUACGCCCCAGACUCCAACGGGAGGCAGCAGUGGGGAAAAUGGCACAAUGGGCGGAAGCCUGAUGCGGCAACGCCGCGUGCGGGAUAACGGCCUUCGGGUGGUAAACCGCUUUCGCCGGUGACGAAGCGUGAGUGACGGUAAUGGGUAAAGAAGCACCGGCUAACUACGUG
rnacentral:rRNA from 1 species